rnacentral:lncRNA from 1 species
CAAAACAACUAUGUAUGUGGCAAAAGAUAUUUUUAUCUAGGUCUUUAAUAUAUGAUAAAGACAUUUCUGCAUUUUUUCGGGGGGAGGUCAUUCACCCUGGUGCUUUGAAUGUAAAGUAAAGGACACAUGUUGCCUUCGAGUUGGUUUUUUUUUUUUUAAAGCGGCUGUUUUUCCCCCUCAGGCUCAAACAAGUCUGGGUUUGAGUUGGAGCCUUUAGUCCCGCCCACAGGGGCGCUCUCCGGCAGCCCCCAGCACAGGGGGCGGAGCUUCUGCCAGCUUGUGGGAAGCUCCCUCAGUCCCUCGCUCCCUCGCUCCGUCUCGCUCGUGGCGGCGCCUGUCCUGGGGGAGGGGCCGCACUUCUCCUGGCGGCGGCGGCAGACUAGGAGCUUGAGCCUCAAUUUGCAUGUGACGUGUACAGUGUACCUGUGCUCCAUUUGAAUCCUAGAAAGGCAGAAGUGUCCAGCAGAGUAAAGGCUUUGCUGGGAACACAACUGGAGUGAGAGUCAAAGCAGCUGGAUCACAGGGCCAGACCACCACAGUUCACGUGACUGAGGGGAGUGGCCUUGUGUUCUGUGCCACUGCGGGGGCGGAGCCUUCUCUGAGCAGCACCUCUGAGUUCUGCCCUGCCAGUCUUGUGGGAGGAGCUGCAUUUUACCAGGCUGCAGCUGACAAGAAGCGUCAAGCCUUGGUUAAUAUUGGAGGUGCAUGUGGUGUGGGAACUCUGUGUGUGAUUCGACUUGAGCACAGAAAGGCUGUGUAACCACAUACAAGCCCCAUAGGGUGAAAGAUCUGUUGGGAAAUCAACUGGCUUGAGAGUCAAGAUAGUUGGAUCACUUUGCAGGACCAUCACUGUCCACGUGACAGAGGGUAAGACUUGUCCCAUUUCUGGAUACACUACACAUUUGAAAAUAUGCUGAGGUCUUAAAGGACACUUGAUUUUUGCUUCCUGCUUUCCAUCUGUAAGCGUUUUCAACUUAAAAGCAACUUUUGUAUUAACAUAAUUCAGUUGAAAGUUUGAGGCAAGGCCAUGUACUCAGCUAACACACUGCCUUUUAGUGUUAAUGAAGUAAUAGAAUCAUUUUAGAAUGUAGUAGAAUUACAGGGUUUUUAGCUCAUUCUAAGAAUUUCUGAAUAAGACUUUGAAAAUGGAGCCUAACAUUCUAUGAGGUCCUCCAUAUAAUCCUCAUGAUUGCUAAAUUUGAAGACUCACUACCACAGAUGUAAUACUAGGAAUACAAAAGUACCAAAGUAUCAGAUGGCAUGAAUAGAUUCCAUAGCAUGCGUGUACUUCUAGCUAUACUGAUGUAUAUUCUUUAACAAAAAAGUAACAGUUCUUGAAUUGGGGUUAUAAUGCAAGUUUAUUUCCGUUUGUUACCUCUCUGUCCAUUAGACUGCUUUUUUGUCUUUCUCAUCUCUCAUUUGAACACAGUUCUUUUCAGUUUAUCUCUUUUGUCUGCAUUUGCUCACCGUCUACUUUGGCAAGAUAGUUUUAUUUGUUAAUAGUGUUUUCCCUAUUUCAGUAUUUUCCAGAGUUCUCUUAUUCAAACAACAUGUUCAAGAAUUCUGGGGACAUAUUUGUGGAAGAAAACAGUGCACAUAAACUAUAGACUCUUUGUGGUUCUAAAUCAAAAGAAACUUUAAUAAGACUGUUGUGAUAGCAUUUGAAUUUGUAGCCACAAGGCCAACCAAUCUUUGUCUGUAACAUUAACUACUUG